rnacentral:misc_RNA from 1 species
GUUAACACAGCAGCUGGCAUAGUGCACCCACCAUCCAAUAAAAAUCAUUAGUCCACCACCCAUAGUUAUAUAAAUACUAGUAUUUUUUUUUAUAAGAACAUAUUAUAUGGUUUCCUACGGACAAUAGCUGACUAUGUGAAAUAUUAAUGUAUUAUCUAAAUCAUCAUAUGGGUUUUAUUUCUUGAUAACCAAGCACCAGAUCAUCAAAUAGCAUUUGUAGCUUGAACUUAUAGCGAUGUGUGUCUUUGACGAAGUACAAUGAUUUCAGAAAACCUCUUCCAGGCCAUUAAUGAACUAUUCCCUUGAUCCAAUUGCAUAUAUUGCACCAAAACAAAGCAGCCCUCUUGU